rnacentral:lncRNA from 1 species
CCCCCAAAAAAAAAAAGGCGGAAAAAGGCAUUUUGGCCAUUUUCCCCCAGCAGCGGGUGGGAGAUGCGGCAGGUUUGGGAGCUGUGCAAAUAAAGGCGUUUUUUGGAUUUUUGACCGUCUUUAGUGGUUCUUCCAUUAAAAGCAGGGUGCCUCGGGGCAGCUCGGGGGCAGCUUUUUGCCCCAAAUUUGCUUUUUCUCCCCUUUUUCUCCCACUAUACAGCUCCGGGAGGUUGGGGGAUAUGCAAAUAUAUGCAAAUGAAGCUUAAUGAAGUGGGCGUGGCCUUGGCUUAUGGAAAGAUGACUCCAAAAUCAGUAAGAUUUUAAAGUAGGGAUUUUUUUUAAGCACGGGGGGUGGUCCCACCAAAAUUGUUUGCCCCUAAUUUGGCAAAUUGCUUUGAUUAUAUGCAUUAAAAUUUACAUAUUCAUGAGGUUUCCCAGGAUGCUCAUACAUAUUCAUAACCUGUCCCACUUCAUAUUCAAAUUAGUUCAAAUAAUUAAUUUCCAUCAACUCCUCCCCUUGAGCCUUCUGGUGGGGGGCGCUGAGGGUCGCGAGGAUGAAGUAAAAUUAAGAUGUCUCCAAAAUCCGGGUUUAUUUUAAUUAUUUCCUUCAAAUUUUGGGCUGAUCUUCACAGUUUUAUUCAAAAUCUGGGCUUUCCAUCCCAGAUUUCCUCGAAAUCCAGGUUUAUUUUAAUGGUUUCCUUCAAAUUCUGGGCUGAUCUCCACAGUUUUAUUCAAAUUCUGUGCUUAUCUCCACAGUUUUAUUCAAAAUUUGGGUUUUCCAUCCCAGUUUUGUUCAAAAUCUGUGUUUCUUUUCACAGUUUUAUUGGAAAUCCAGGCUUAUAUUCACGGUUUUCUUCAUAUUUUGGGUUUAUUUUCAUAUUUUUCUUCUAA